rnacentral:RNase_P_RNA from 2 species
GGAGUCGGCCAGGCAGUCGCGUCAUCCCGGUGCAUUUCGGUGCAGCGGGAUGCCGAGGAAAGUCCGGGCUCCAUAGGGCAAGGUGCCAGGUAACGCCUGGGCGGCGCGAGCCGACGGAUCAGUGCAACAGAAAGAUACCGCCUAAGUCUGCGCAAGCAGACCGGUAAGGGUGAAAUGGUGCGGUAAGAGCGCACCGCGAGUCCGGUAACGGACCGGUACGGCAAACCCCACCUGGAGCAAGACCAAAUAGGGACCUCAUGGCGCUGCCCGCGUCGGGUCCGGGUAGGUUGCUCGAGCGCCGCGGUGACGCGGCGCCUAGAAGAAUGACUGUCCACGACAGAACCCGGCUUAUCGGCCGGCUCCGCCA